rnacentral:rRNA from 1 species
CUGCUCUGCUCAGUAACACGUCGAUAAUCUGCCCUAAGGUCAGGGAUAACCUCGGGAAACUGAGGGUAAUACCUGAUAGACAAAAAGCUCUGGAAAGUGCUUUUGUUCAAACUCGAGCCUUAGGAUGAGUCGGCGGCUGAUUAGGCAGUUGGUGGUGUAAAGGACCACCAAACCGAUGAUCAGUAGGGGCCAUGAAAGUGGGAGCCCCGAGAAGGACACUGCGACACUGGUCCUAGCCCCACGGGGUGCAGCAGGCGCGAAACUUUUACAAUGCACGAAAGUGUGAUAAGGGAAUCCUCAGUGCUUGCACACAGUGUAGGCUUUUGUUAAGGGUAAAUACCUUAGCGAAUAAGUGGUGGGUAAGACUGGUGCCAGCCGCCGCGGUAACACCAGCGCCACGAGUGGCAGUCGUGUAUUUGGCCUAAAGCGUCCGUAGCCGGAUUUGUAAAUCUUCUGUGAAAUCGUUGCGCUUAACGUAACGGCGGGCAGAAGACACUGCAAGUCUCGAGACCGGGAGGAGUCAGAGGUAUUCUAGGGGGAGCGGUAAAAUGCUAUAAUCCCUGGAGGACCACCAGUGGCGAAGGCGUCUGACCAGAACGGAUCUGACGGUGAGGGACGAAAGCCAGGGGAGCGAACCGGAUUAGAUACCCGAGUAGUCCUGGCCGUAAACGCUGUGAACUAGGUGUUGCCUAUUCUACAGGAAUGGGCAGUGUCGAAACGAAGGUGUUAAGUUCACCGCCUGGGAAGUACGGUCGCAAGACUGAAUCUUAAAGGAAUUGGCGGGGGAG